rnacentral:lncRNA from 1 species
CUGGGGAACUGAGGGGCCCCUGAACCUGCCACCCUAACAGAUAUUGCUAAAUAAAACAAUAAAAUGAAAGAAUGCACUCUGGGUCCCACCUUGGGAGACAUGACUGAUUUAACUUGGAGGAGAGGUAAAGGGGAUAAGAAAUGUUUUUCUUUUUGUUUUUGUGGUUUUUUGCUUUUUUGCAGUUGGCAGAGGUGAAGGGAUGCAACAACCCAUUUCUUGCAAGUGAUCUGAUGGAUGUAUCACGUGUCAACAAAGAACAAAGAAAUACUUCCCCUCCUGUUCUUGAAUGCAAUGCCCCUUUUCAAGCAUUUCGGCUCUGCUAGUAUUUCAAAUUUAAAUCCAAGGUCAUUUCUCUGGGCAGGAGGUCACUCUUAUGUUUCUAGAACAGAAAAGAAAAAAGUACAAAAGCCCCGAAAAGCCCUGCACACAAAGACUCUGUAUUCUUCCCUUGGUAUUGAAAACACCUUGUUAACCCCAUGCUCCUCCCUCUGACCUAUAGGGAUUGCAUUUUCAUGGAAAUCUUGGUGAGUGGGAAAGAGUUGCUAGUUUAAGGCAGAAGACUUUCUAACAUAAGUCUGUUCUUUUUGGAAAAAUAAUGCAAGGUUGCUGUGGAAAAUCAGGACACCUGUAAAGAAGGGAGAUCAAAUAACCCAGAGAACUAUAACAUUGUAUUUUCUUUUGGUGUCUUUUUAAAAGCUUUGGGGUGAGCAUGUGUAUGGAUGUGCUUACCAACUUUUAACCAGUGGAAUGAUGCAAGAUUGUUUGGUGGCCUUUAUUUUUUCAACUGAAAACAAAUAAACAAACAAAACUAUUCACUCUUCUUCUGGAUGUGGGUUUCCCUAGAACUUUUCAGCAGUCCUCCUGUCCCCAUGUUUAGGAUGGCAUGACUGAGAGGGAGAAAGGAAAUGGCCCCACCUUGGGCACUAACUGCUAUGUUGGGUGGCAAUAUGGAGAGAUGACUGGACAGCAGUUCAAGGGGUCUUAGAACACUGAUCUUUUAGCCCAGAGUUGAGAUGUUAUCUCCUCUAGCUUCCCUCUUCCUCACCUUACAAACGCAUCUCCAGUUCAUCUUCAUCUGAACAGUUUAUUACCUCCUCUAUCUCUUCUAUCAAACCUUUGGACUCCAGGGUUCUUACAGGAAAUAUGCCUCUUGUAGCCAUUAGGCCAAAAUUUGGCUCAGAAAUCACCUCAUGAUGCCCCUCCUCUUAGUGUUAAGGAGGAAAAGGAUGGUUUAAGAGCAAGAACCCAUAUUUGGCAGGAGUUUGGGGUAGAAAAUCAAUGCUACUCAUUGACAAAGGGCAGGAAGGAGACUCAAGACAAUGUUCAGGACUUCUCUUGGGAUCAUUUGUCUCCUACUGGGAUUAAGUAGGCUUUCUGAAGGUUAAAAAGUACCACACUUCUCCAGAAUGACGCUGACCCAGGAAUUUAAAUUUAAAUUCCUAAGGAACUGCUCAGUGUGGGUGGUGCCCUCUUUCCUGCUAAUUGCCUUAUUUAUGAUUGAUAUUUGUUAUGAGAAACUCUUGACACACCCUCUCCAAAUGUUUGAGCUUUAUCAUUCUGGAAAAAUGUGUCUAAAAUGUGUGAUGUGUAUUAAUUAUGUAUCUACCACUUCCUUAUGUAUUAUCUUGGCAAGGUUUGGGGUAGAAAAGCCAGUUCUAUUGGGUUAGCUUGAUGUAGAAGGCCAAGCCAUCCAAUGCAGAUUAUCCUGGACAUGAAGUUAGAAACAUGGUUGUCUUUAGGGAGUACCAAUCUGGAAAAGGGCCCAGAUGGCUCCCCUCAUGGUACCAGCCAAUAAUGGAGGUGGAGAGAGAGGAGGACUUAUUGAAUGAGAGUGUGGUUUAUUGAGUUGGUAGUAAAUAAGAUCCAAAGCCUUAAUAUACCAGACUCAUUUCUAGAAGAAAACUUGCCCUUCAUCCUAUUGGAGGUUAUGAGGUGACUUGAUACCAAAACCAUGAGAAUUUCAAGUUGAAUAAAAUAUAGUUUAUUCAUUCAAAAAACAUUUGCCAAGUGCCUUCUGUGUACUAGCAUGUAGCUAUAGAGAUGAACAGUGAAUUACUUCUUUCCUCAAAGAACUUCCAAUCUAGUGCUAAAGUAAUAAAAACUCCAUGAAGCAGGUUGAAAUUAGCACAAUGUUAGAAAUACACAUAAAGUGCUCUUAUAUGGGAAAUAAAAUUAUACAGCUCUGAUGUCUGGCACAUAAAAGACUCCAUAAUAAUUGAAUGAAUGAAUGCAUCAGGGAAGUAUUUUUAAGGGAAAUAUUACAUUUGAACUGAUCACUGAGGACGGGUAGAAUUUUGUUGGGAGCUCACUAUAUAAUUUGUGCAAAGACCCAGAUGUGAAAGUGUUUGAAUGGUUCAAAAAGUGCUAAUAAAUCAUUGGGCUUGGUCUGGGAACACAGCGAAAGGUAGUUGGAGAAGCACAUACCAGGAAGGAUCUUGAAUACUAUGUAAAGAGUUUCAAUGUUAUUCUCCAGAUAAUGGGCAACUAAGAGUCUCUGAAGAGGAAUGCUACACGAUUUGACUGUUUUUAGGAAUAUCAUUCUGAGGGUAUCUCAGGAAAAACUUCAAAGUUGAGACUGGCAAUAUUCAACUCUGAUGGUUUGUAUUCACAUCUGUUAUUGAUUAUUGAGUCUCAAGUGAAACUUGAAAGCAGUCAGGUCUGGUUGUCAUCUUCAUUUCACCUAGAAUAGACUAUACCUGGAGAGGUUUGCCCAGGGUGGCAUGGUGCAUGACACAGAACAAAUACAAGAAGCCCAGUUUCUUCAUUCAUCCAGCCUAAUGCUGCCAGAGCUUUCCUUAAAAAAAAAAAAAAAAAA